CCUACGGGAGGCAGCAGUGAGGAAUAUUGGUCAAUGGGCUUACGCCUGAACCAGCCAAGUCGCGUGAGGGAAGACUGCCCUAUGGGUUGUAAACCUCUUUUGUCAGGGACCAACGCCGGCUACGUGUAGCCGGACUGAGAGUACCUGACGAAAAAGCAUCGGCUAACUCCGUGCCAGCAGCCGCGGUAAUACGGAGGAUGCGAGCGGUAUCCGGAUUUAUUGGGUUUAAAGGGUGCGUAGGCGGAAUGCCAAGUCAGCGGUAAAAUCGCGGGGCUCAACCUCGCUCCGCCGUUGAAACUGGCGGUCUUGAGUGGGCGAGAAGUAUGCGGAAUGCGUGGUGUAGCGGUGAAAUGCAUAGAUAUCACGCAGAACUCCGAUUGCGAAGGCAGCAUACCGGCGCCCAACUGACGCUGAAGCACGAAAGCGUGGGUAUCGAACAGGAUUAGAGACCCGUGUAGUC
rnacentral:rRNA from 1 species